rnacentral:lncRNA from 1 species
GUUGUGGACUUUUCAUUUAUUUUUACAUCGUACAUACUGAUAGAAAUGCUAUUUAAAGACUUUGUUAGAAAAGAAUAGAAUUAUUGAGAAAGUGGAAUAAUUUAGUGUGACAUGUCACUUGAUAUUCAUGUUUUUUUAUCGGAGUGAUGUGUAUUGAAUUAUAAGGUGUCUUCGUCGAGGUCCGCGUUCAGCGGUCUGUUUGAUUGUACAUAGAAUUGAAUAGAAUGUUUUUGUUUUCAGAUGGUGUUACCUACAGCUUUGACAGGGUGACGAAUGAAGGAGAAGUAAUAUGACAUUGCACGAUGAUUCAUGUCAAUGAGUUCGAACAACCUUUUUAAAAGGAAAGGAUUUUUUCUAAUCAGAAUAUGGUGAGAACAAAUUGCAAUUGAAGUAAUGUUUUGAUUUCUGAAAAUAGGAAAAUAAUGAAUGGGGAAAAUAUUGAUACUACACUAAAUUAUGUAUGUCUGUGUUGAGAAAGGCAGAAGAUGCCAAUAUGGCACGGUACUAAAAAAAAAAAAAAAAAAAAAUCUGUGAUGGAAGCAGCUUUUUAUGUUCAAAUGAACCUAUUUAAAAGUAAUGCUAAUAAUUUUUCCGUAAUUUCAUGAUGUUUUCUAUUGGAUGUGUAUUUAAUUUCAUUGAUGUGUUGAAAUAUGUCACAAAAAUUUUUUUGUCAUGGGAGAUUAAAUAAUGGUUGCAAUAUUUUUGUUUUGUUUUGUUUUGUUUUAUCUAAAUUAAUAAAUAAAUAUAAUGUUGAAUGAUUUUGUAUACUAGUACAAAUGUAUACUUAAAUUUUAUGUAUGGUUAAAUUUUUUAAUUUAAAUUUCUUUGUCUACAGUUCGAGGGACACUGAUUCCCUAGUGGUUUUCCACGUGGAUUGUAGGCAAAGGGAUUUUUCCUUUUCAAAGUGUGACUAAUGCUGUCUUUAGUACAAAUAAACAAUUUGUUAUUGGUUAAUAUAUUUUCAGCAGACAUGUGAAGAAUCGAGUGGAAAUACAAUUGUCAAUGUUCCUGAUUAUGAAGUAAAGAGUGUGUUUGAUUCAACAACAGUAAAGAAAGAGACAAGCCAGCAUAGUUUACACUUGGAGGUUAAGUCCCUUUGCUUACAAGCUUUCCACAUGCUGAAGAUGUUAUUAGAAUAAUGACAAUGUUCAUUUUGAUAUGAGUUCAUUGCCUUAACUCAACUUUUAAAAGUCCGUAUGUGGUCAAAUUCAUGAGAAUUUAUUGAAUUAUGAACGAUUUAUAAAGAACUGUUUACAUGCAUCUUUAAAUGUUUAGAAGUGUUUUAAAGUAAUUUUAAAAGGAAUAAUAUUUAAUAAAAGUGUUGAAUUUGUUUUGAGUAUUGGGAAUACUAUUCCUUAAGGGAAAGCCUUGCUAGUGGUGUAUUUUGAGAUUGGCCUGCAAAUAUGCUGUAUGGACUAUAGAGUUUUCUAUGCCCAUAACUUAACAUGAACUGGAUGCAAGAUUAUAUCAAUCACUGAGGAUAUGUGUAUAACCUCAUUGGUUGAUAUCUUUGGCGGAAGUACAUGUGAUACAUCCUCAUUCUUUCAAUAUCCAAGUGGUGGUUGGUUUAAGGGCUAUGUUUGGUCAGGCAAUACAUAUUGCCUGUUUGGGUUGAUGAGGUUCUUGAUAAGUUCCCCCUCUCCCACCCAUAAGUACCAAAAUGUGGAUAUGUUUUUAUAUUUAUAUUUCAAUAUUGGUAUUACAUGUAUGCAUUUUGGGUUGAUGAGCACGAGACAACAUUAGAAAAACAUGAGCAUUACCAUGGGAUCAUGUUGACAAAACAAACCUUCGCUUUAUCGAUUUUCAAGGGAAAGGUCAAUUAGGGCAAGUGUAUUGGCAUGUUUGUGUUUGCUUUUUCAUUACAAUGGUAAAAAUAAGAUUAUAUAUCUCGGAUGACAAUAAUGUUGAUUAUAAUGCUUCAUUUUAUGAGCUCCAGAGUAGUUUUAUAACUGAAAAACAACUGUGCACUAUAUCCAGUGAGCUCUUCUGCAUUGCAUUGUGCAUGGUAGUCCACAUUUUGGUUUCUGAAACGUUAAGAUAUUAUCUUGUAUUCGGUUCUUUCCUCUAGAGUUUUCUAUGCCCAUAACUUAACAUGAACUGGAUGCAAGAUUAUAUCAAUCACUGAGGAUAUGUGUAA